AAAAAAAAAAAACCAACCCGGUUUUGAGCAUCGUCCCAUCAGGAGAGCUGUCACUUAAGUUUUUAUAGGCCUCUCCGUGGGAAUGGCAGAAGCGCUGGAGGGUUUUAAACCGAGCUCGUUAGCUGCGGGAAGAAGAGUUUUGGGGAGGCAAAACCUGGCCGUGUCUUGUCUGGUGAAGGAGGGGGAUGAUGGAUUAUUCGUUUCGCCUUCGGAAACGAUCGAAUUUGAACGCUUCGCUCAAAGAACGGCGGGAUGGAGGACUUUUCUCCCCCUCGCAGGAAGCGGGGGUCGAUGGAGCUGCCGGGCAGGGGCAUCCCCGGGGCUCCCGUGUUCCCCACACUCUUGGGACUAAACCAAAUACAGACGUGCUGUGAAAUCUGCACCCGUACAUCAGAAAAAGUAUUUUUCUUUACACCGAGAAGAGAUUUUUAGGGCAAAGCUGGAGCGGGACCAUAGGUCUGGUUUGUCCCGCAGCCCUCGAGGAGGAGAACAGAAGUGACUCCUCAUACUGAAAUAGAUAAAGGAGUACAGAGACUGAUCUGAGUGGGAGAGAAGGAGAGAGAACAGGAGAAUGAGGAAGAAGAAAGAUAGAACGAAAAACAACUACAUAGAGUAAGAGAGAAAAAGGCAGAGAAAAAGAGGA